CCAGGCUUGAACUGCGAGUGACCACUCCUGAAAGGGAGCUUUCGCAAGAACACUCGUAGAGGUGCUGCAUGGCUGUCGUCAGCUCGUGUCGUGAGAUGUUGGGUUAAGUCCCGCAACGAGCGCAACCCUUGUCCUCUGUUGCCAUCACGUUAUGGUGGGCACUCUGGGGAGACUGCCGGUGAUAAACCGGAGGAAGGUGGGGAUGACGUCAAGUCAGCAUGGCCUUUAUGUCUGGGGCUACACACGUGCUACAAUGGCCGGUACAAAGCGUCGCGAGCCCGCGAGGGGGAGCUAAUCGCAGAAAGCCGGUCUCAGUUCGGAUCGUAGGCUGCAACUCGCCUGCGUGAAGUCGGAAUCGCUAGUAAUCGCGGAUCAGCAUGCCGCGGUGAAUACGUUCCC
rnacentral:rRNA from 1 species